AAGUCGGUAACAAGGUUUCCAAGUAGGUGAACCUGCGGGAAGGCAUCAUUAAACAAAGUAAAGGCUGGUAGGCAAAGGUGGGGUCGGUUGAAGUCUGUAAGUGGUAGAGCGAACAGUCCGGCUGCCUCCCCGAAAAUGUCUUACAUGUCCCCCCACAGCCUGAAGGCCGAAUUACAACCCUUGAUUAUCUACACUUGUUGCUUUGGGGUGCUCAAGUGCCCCAGAGGACCCAACUCUCUUGCAUUUAGUGACGUCUGAGUACUAUAUAAUAUUUAAAA
rnacentral:misc_RNA from 1 species